ensembl:misc_RNA 7SK 7SK RNA
GGAUGUGAGGGCGAUCUGGCUCGACAUCUGUCACCCCAUUGAUCGCCAGGGUCGAUGGGGCUGAUCCGGCUGGCUGGGCGGGGGUCCCCUUCCUCCCUCACCGCUCCAUGUGCGUCCCUCGCGAAGCUGCGCGCUCGGUCGAAGAGGACGACCUUCCCCGAUAGAGGAGGACCGUUCUUGGGUCAAGGGUAUACGAGUAGCUGCGCUCCCCUGCUAGAACCUCCAAACAAGCUCUCAAGGUCCAAAUUGUCAGACGACAAAUUGUGGUGAUACCAACAAGGGCUCUUAAAUCUAUGUCCAGCAUGACAAAUAAUCAUCUUUAAUCUGU